GACGAACGCUGGCGGCGUGCUUAACACAUGCAAGUCGAACGAUGAGGCCUAGCUUGCUAGGUGGAUUAGUGGCGAACGGGUGAGUAAUACGUGAGUAACCUACCUUUAACUCUGGGAUAAGCCCGGGAAACUGGGUCUAAUACCGGAUACGACCAAUCUCCGCAUGGGGUGUUGGUGGAAAGCGUUAUGUAGUGGUUAUAGAUGGGCUCACGGCCUAUCAGCUUGUUGGUGAGGUAACGGCUCACCAAGGCGACGACGGGUAGCCGGCCUGAGAGGGUGACCGGCCACACUGGGACUGAGACACGGCCCAGACUCCUACGGGAGGCAGCAGUGGGGAAUAUUGCACAAUGGGCGCAAGCCUGAUGCAGCGACGCCGCGUGAGGGAUGACGGCCUUCGGGUUGUAAACCUCUGUUAGCAGGGAAGAAGAGAGAUUGACGGUACCUGCAGAGAAAGCGCCGGCUAACUACGUG
rnacentral:rRNA from 1 species